ACUUCUGUAGCCCAAUUGGUAGAGGCGCGAGUCUUAGAAACUCGUUAGUGCUGGUUCGACCCCAGUCAGAAGUA
rnacentral:tRNA from 1 species